UUAAAACGCAGACCGCCAGAACCAGGCCUGGAAGCCCGCCAGCCCCGCCCCUCCCCGGCCCGCCCCCUCGGGGCGCCCAGACACGCAGCGCCCCCUGCCCGCCGCCCAAAGGGAGGUUGGGGGUAGCUCCGCGGCUGGACGCGCGCGGCAGGGCUGGAGUCUAUUAACUGCGUGCCAAGUACGUGCCAGACACUGGAUCUCCACCCACCAGAACAGCUUAACUGAGGAUGACAGACCGCACCAAGGGUAGACGAAGAAGAAGUAGAGCGACUGGACCUCUCAUAUUUCUGGGAAGUGUAAAUUCUGAGACACCUUGGAAAGCACAGUUUUCGAUUGAAGCCCAAAAUACACCCCAACAUUAUGACCCAGCAAUUCCACUCCUACAUCAUCAACACCCAACAGAAAAGCGUAGUUAUGAGCACCAAGUGAGAUGUACUGGGAUGUUCAUAGUACUAUUUAUAACAGCCUCAAACUGGAAACAACCCAUCAAAGGAAAGUGGAAAAGGAGCUGUAGCCUAUUCACACCUUGGACACAGAAAGGAGCAUGAUGUCCCGCUGCAUCCAACAAGGGGGACAAGUCUCACGAAAGAAGUCAGAUACAACUGUACACACUGUGUGAUUCUGUUUACAUGAUGUUCCAAACAGACAAAACUAAUUUAUGGUGUGAGAAAUCAGGAUAAGGGACACCUUGGGACUGCGAGGGGAUAAGAGGGGGCUCUGGGAACUGGUUGUGUUCUGUUUCUUAAUCUGGUGCUGGUUCCUUGGGCAUAUUUACUCUUAAAAAUUCAUGGAUGUUUGCACUUUUCCCUAUGUAUAUUAUACUUCAAGUAAAACUUUAUUUUAAAUGA